UACGUAGGUGGCUAGCGUUGUCCGGAUUUACUGGGCGUAAAGCGUGCGCAGGCGGUUGUGUACGUCAGAUGUGAAAUCCCCGGGCUCAACCUGGGAAUUGCAUUUGAGACUGCACGGCUAGAGUGUGUCAGAGGGGGGUAGAAUUCCACGUGUAGCAGUGAAAUGCGUAGAGAUGUGGAGGAAUACCGAUGGCGAAGGCAGCCCCCUGGGAUAACACUGACGCUCAUGCACGAAAGCGUGGGGAGCAAACAGG
rnacentral:rRNA from 1 species